rnacentral:rRNA from 1 species
AGUGAACGCUGGCGGCAUUCCUAAUACAUGCAAGUCGAACGGCAGCACAGUGGAGCUUGCUCCAUGGGUGGCGAGUGGCGGACGGGUGAGGAAUACAUGGGAAUCUGCCCAGUCGUGGGGGAUAACGUAGGGAAACUUACGCUAAUACCGCAUGCGCCCUUCGGGGGAAAGCCGGGGACCUUCGGGCCUGGCGCGAUUGGAUGAGCCCAUGUUCGAUUAGCUAGUUGGCGGGGUAAAGGCCCACCAAGGCGACGAUCGAUAGCUGGUCUGAGAGGAUGAUCAGCCACACUGGGACGGAGACACGGCCCAGGCUCCUACGAGAGGUAGCAGUAGGGAAUAUUGGACAAUAGGCGCGAGCCUGGUCCAGCCAUGCCGCGUGAGUGAAGAAGGCCCUCGGGUUGUAAAGCUCUUUUGUCCGGGAAGAAAAGCAUCGGGCUAAUACCUCGGUGUUCUGACGGUACCGGAAGAAGAAGCACCGGCUAACUUCGUG